rfam:Neurospora tetrasperma FGSC 2509 unplaced genomic scaffold NETTE2scaffold_1, whole genome shotgun sequence.
UCCCAGGGAUUUUGUCAGGAUCUUUCCCGCAUUCAGUUGUGCUUCAUUGGGAUUGGUCUGUUACAUCGCUGGGAGAUUAAUAUCCACCUCCCAACCUCCCUGGUCCCGUCUUGGGAUUGGGGAUUUGAUGGACUCCGUUUUGGAGGACUUCACGGGAUACCGGACGUGUUUCGUUUGAGUUGAAUUCCACCCUGCCUUUGAGCAGACUCUACCAUGGUGGUCUUCUUAGUUAUGAUUCACACAUUU